CUUGUUUACUAGAUUGAAUUGUACACUACAAUAGUUGCUAAGUUCCAUCAUUUGUAAAUUUUGUGUAACAUAACUAUGGCUGGAAAUGCGCAAGGCAAAUUGGCUUCAUUUAUCACUCAUAUUGGAAUUGACAUCAAUACUUGGGGGAUGAAAUUUUUCAGCUUGGAUGCAAAACAGAAGGUUUUGAAUAUUUGAAGGAAAGAUGUUUGCCAAAUUGCCGCAGUGUGAGGACGAAAGAAAAGUCAUCGAAUUCCAUAGAGAUGAAGAUACAAUGUGAUGAAAAGAGGUCCUUCAAUGGAGAAGCUGAGGCCAUUUCAGAAUCUGUGUUGUUUUCAUUUAAUUGUUAUUGUGGAGUAGUUAGUUGUAAUGUAAUUUGCAAUUUGUAACUUGUUGUAAUACUCUUUCUUGGCAUGGGUUUUAUGUUCUAGCCCCGUGUUUGACAUUGUAUGCCAAAACAUGAUAUUUGUGUGAUUGGUAAGUAAAUGUAAUGGUUGGAGACUCCAGAUUAGAUUUUGAUGCUUGCUAGUUGUUGGUUGUUGCACUUUAUUUUUUGUCUGACCAUGAUUUUUUGUUCAGUCAAAAGAAAGAAAAAUGUUGUU